GGUGCGAUGGCCGUCGUCAGUUCGUACUGUGAAGCAUCCUGUUAAGUCAGGCAACGAGCGAGCCCACGCCCACAGUUGCCAGCGUACUCUCUGGAGUGACGGGUACACUGUGGGGACCGCCGCUGCUAAAGCGGAGGAAGGAAUGGGCAACGGUAGGUCAGUAUGCCCCGAAUAUCCCGGGCUACACGCGAGCUACAAUGGUUGGUACAAUGGGUAUCUACCCCGAAAGGGGACGGGAAUCUCCUAAAACCAAUCUUAGUUCGGAUUGAGGGCUGCAACUCGCCCUCAUGAAGCUGGAAUCCGUAGUAAUCGCGUUUCAACAGAACGCGGUGAAUACGUCCCUGCUCCUU
rnacentral:rRNA from 1 species